AACCUUGUAGUGUAAAACAUGUUAGAUUGCAAAUCUUAUUAUGUAGGUUCAACACCUACCAGGGUUU
rnacentral:tRNA from 1 species